GCAAAGUGUCCGCCUGCAGAAGAAUCAUGAUGAAGAGCAAGAAUUUCUGGAUCUCGUGUCCUGGGAACCAAAAGUUGCCACCUGAUUUCUUUCAAGUCUGCAGAUUCCCAUUUUCGGGUCUUCGAGAGGGAGCAUCGGCGUUUCCAUGAUGAAUUCCUGCUCGAUGACGAAUAUCAAAAUCGUACUGACCGAGCCUUUCUAACCAUCUAGCUAUCUGACCUUCAGGAGAUUUGUACGAAAGUAGCCACCUGAGAGAAGCAUGAUCUGUGUCGGCCAAGAAGAAACCUUGUCGAUUUUGAAUGGGUCGGUCUUCACACCUCAUGC